rnacentral:misc_RNA from 1 species
UACAGCCUGGCAUUAAAGUGGAGAAA